rnacentral:rRNA from 1 species
UACGAAGGGGGCUAGCGUUGCUCGGAAUCACUGGGCGUAAAGCGCACGUAGGCGGCUUUUCAAGUCAGGGGUGAAAUCCUGGAGCUCAACUCCAGAACUGCCUUUGAUACUGAAGAGCUCGAGUCCGGGAGAGGUGAGUGGAACUGCGAGUGUAGAGGUGAAAUUCGUAGAUAUUCGCAAGAACACCAGUGGCGAAGGCGGCUCACUGGCCCGGUACUGACGCUGAGGUGCGAAAGCUAGGGGAGCAAACGGGG